rfam:Rattus norvegicus chromosome 5, whole genome shotgun sequence.
GGAGAUUUAGCUCAGUGGUAGAGCGCUUGCCUAGCAAGCGCAAGGCCCUGGGUUCAGUCCCCAGCUCCG